rnacentral:misc_RNA from 1 species
CUCAUUAGCAAAAAGAUAACCUCAGCAUAAAAUUGGACCUGUUUCUCAUCAAGCCAAACGAAAUUACAAGCCAAAAUCAAAACGAAGUGCAACAUAAAUGAAAUCAACAACAACUGAUCCAUUAAAUAAACAAUGAACAAAAAUUUAAACCUAAAUCACCAAACAAGAAUGUAAUCAAAGAGAACUACCACACAAAAUCAACCAACAAAAUUCAUUUGAGUGGCGAUAAAGUAAAUUUGGAAACAUAUCAAAUCCAAUUUCUCAAUUCUAAAUAAUGGGCAAAUUUACCUAAAAAUAAAACUAACAAGCAAAAUCCAUGCCAGAAUUAACUAAUUUUAGCACAAAAAAGGAAAAACAAAUAAUAAAGAG